rnacentral:rRNA from 1 species
CGUGUAGGCGGGUCGUUAAGUUGGGGGUGAAAUCCCGAGGCUCAACCCUCGGAACUGCCUUCAAAACUGGCGACCUGGAGCGAGAUAGAGGCAAGUGGAAUUCCGAGUGUAGAGGUGAAAUUCGUAGAUAUUCGGAGGAACACCAGUGGCGAAGGCGACUUGCUGGAUCUCUGCUGACGCUGAGACGCGAAAGCGUGGGGAGCAAACA